rnacentral:rRNA from 1 species
AUUGAACGCUGGCGGCACGCCUAACACAUGCAAGUCGAGCGGUAACAGGAUUUGUAGCAAUACAAAUUGCUGACGAGCGGCGGACGGGUGAGGAACACGUAGGAACCUGCCUAGAAGAGGGGGAUAACCAAGGGAAACUUUGGCUAAUACCGCGUAAUCUCGAGAGAGCAAAGCUGCCGCAAGGUGGCGCUUCUAGAGGGGCCUGCGUCCGAUUAGCUAGUUGGUGGGGUAAAAGCCCACCAAGGCGAUGAUCGGUAACUGGUCUGAGAGGACGACCAGUCACACUGGGACUGAGACACGGCCCAGACUCCUACGGGAGGCAGCAGUGGGGAAUCUUGGACAAUGGGGGCAACCCUGAUCCAGCGAUGCCGCGUGAGUGAAGAAGGCCUUCGGGUCGUAAAGCUCUUUAGGCUGGGAAGAAGGGUAUAUGAGGAAAUGCAUAUACUUUGACGGUACCAGCAGAAUAAGCACCGGCAAACUCUGUGCCAGCAGCCGCCGCGG